UCUAUCACACAACCCCCAUUGAUGUGCUCCAAUAAGAGAAAAAUAUAGCAGUAAAAAAACAAGAACGGUUGCUGUUGGAAACGUUUGGACGGAGAACGGAGAAGAACAACAACACAAAAUUAGUAAAGCAAAUAUUAACAUAAAGAUUUUUGAUAACAACAAAAGAAGUGUUGUUUUUUGAAUUUGCAAGUUGAGGAAGACAACAAUCGAAAGUGAUUUGACUGGUGGUGCUAAAAACCACAAUAACAACAAAUUGUUAUUAACAAUAAAAACAAAGAAACCCCAAAAAUCAGUGACGAAACGCAAAAACAGAGAGAUAAUAUAGAUAAUAAAAAAUAAUAACAACAACAAGAGUGAAAUAACAAAAGAAACGCAAAAAUGUGCGGUGGAUUUACGUGUUCAAAGAAUGCAUUAAUUGCCUUAAAUAUUUUAUAUGUGAUGGUGGGCUUCCUACUGAUUGGUGUCGGUGUCUAUGCUCGUGCUGCUUCAAUUGUUACAAAUCUUCCCAUUGUUGGCGGUAUACUGGCAUGCGGCAUUAUCUUGAUACUCAUAUCGAUAUUGGGUCUAGCUGGUGCUGUUAAACAUCAUCAAGUUAUGCUGUUUUUCUAUAUGAUCAUUUUGUUUUUGCUCUUCCUCAUACAAUUCUCCAUUGCCAGCUCGUGUUUGGCUGUCAACUCGGAGCAGCAACAAGAAUUUGCUGAGGAGGGAUGGAAUCGAGUGCCAGCAUCGAUGCACAAACAAGUGCAGGAUACAUUCCUUUGCUGUGGUUUCAAUUCCACAAACACCACGGCCGAUGAGUCCUGCGAGUUGGUGAACAAACAGUGCUGUCUCGGCAAUUCGUACGACACCAAUUGCCAGUGUCCACCGUGUUUGCCCAAAUUGGAAGAUAAAAUCAAUUAUGCCUUUAAAUUGUGCGGUGGUUUGGGUAUAUUCUUCAGUUUUACAGAGUUUAUUGGUGUCUGGUUAACCGUUCGCUAUCGCAAUCAAAAAGAUCCACGUGGUUUGCCCAGUGCAUUUCUUUAAAUACACCAACUAAGAGCAAACAUAAUUCAAUAAUGAAAUGCAAAAUUUAUACGAAUAUUAUUUACACAAACAUACAUAUAUGCAUACAUAAUAAUAUUAAUUCGCCAUUUAAGUUAGCCCCGACCGCACACUUUCCCGAUUCCCACAUUAUAACAUCCCAAAGUACCCCUUUCCUCAAUAAUUCCACGAUCUAGUCAUUACAAAAUUACAAAAAACUGAGAAUAAACAACUCACAAAAUUGAAUGGUGUUAACAUGAAUUAUAAUACAAUCUCACACUCAUAUAUAGACAUACAUACAUUUAUUGUAUUUGUAAACAAAAACAAUAACAACAAAGAAAUUGCAAAAUAUUUAAGGUAUUUUACACAGUACACAUUAAUUUAAUUUAAUGUUGAUGAAAUGCAAUUAAACAGCAGGAGUAUUUGUAAUACCCCUCCUCCCCCUCAAUAUAACAAUAUCAUCAUUCAAAUACCCACUCUUGCAUACAUACCAGCUGCAUAUAUACAAUAACAAUAAACAUUAAAGUCACAUUCAAAUAAAACAAUACAAUUAUUUACUCUUCAUUUCAAAUAAUUAAAAUACAUACACAAACAAACAUUUAUGCAUUAAUCAUUUAACAUAAUUACAUGGCUAACAUACCUACAUACCUAUAUAUGAAGCAUUAUAUAUACAUAUUAUUAUAAUUAUUAUUAUAUACAAAGCAAAUAUAUACAUUUAUAUAAGUACAUACAUACAUGCAUAUAGUAUAUAUUUAGAGACUUUUUAGUUAUGUAAGUUAGUCACCACAACAAAAAAACCUAUAGCUACUGCAACAGCUAUUUACAUACAAACAGGAAUCAAUCAAUCAUCAUCAAUUUUUACCAGCCUUCGUUGUACGGACGUCAUCCGAAAACAUACCAAAAUCUAAUGUUAUUUUCCAAAAAUCUAUUUUAAUUUGCUUUCCGUUUUUAACAUAUCCACACAAAAAAGGGUUUCAUUAAAUAAUUACCUUAUCAAAAUUACAUUAACCGUUCCAAAACCUAAAAUGCCACCUUCAUUUUAUGGACUAUUAAUAGAAACUAACCAAAUUAAAAUACAUUCGCAUAACUGGAGUGUCACAAAACAAUGGGUACUUGCUGUAUUUUUAGCCCGUCGUUAUCGCAAUCAAAAUGAUCCUGACUAUUUGCCAGCACGUGCAGUUUUCCCCCAUAACUAUAUUUACUAAGAAGAUGCUUAGAACAAGCGAUCCUUCACUAGUGGAAUCUCCGUUUUUUUACUUUCAACGAACAAAUUUUUAGUUAAGAAUCCAAACAUUUUGCCCCCCAAAAAAAUAUAGAAACAAAAAUUGAACAAAUUAACAAAAAAAGAGAAAAUUAGGCAACUAUAUAAAUAAUAUGAAUCAUGUUAAUAGUCAUAGUUAUUUUCUUUUAGUUUAAUUGUAUAUUAUUUUCUUUUUAUUAUUUGUUAAGUACAUAUAUUUAAUUAUUUUAAAUUUUUUGAUGUAUUUCAUUAGUCAAAAUGGGACGAAGGCUGAUUAUGAUUUUUUUUGUUCAAUAUCUCUCCGACAUGAUUAUUUUAAGAAAUACAAUUUUGUACACAUUUUUCGUUCAUACAUAUAGUUAAUAAUUUUUUGUUUUCAAUGAAGUCAUAGUCAUCGUAUACAUUAGAUUAUACAGUCAGUCAACUGUCAGUGUACAAUGUUGUUUAUGUCGACCAAGAAAUGAAAAACCAAAAAUUUAUUUUAAAAUCCAUUUAUUUUGAGAUUAUUUUAAAGUAGUGCUAUUUUAUUUUUCUGUAAUUUAUUUUUGGAUUACUUAAUAGAUUUUAAAAUCAAAUGCUGUUUUAAUUAAUUAAUUUUUGUUUUAAUUAAUUUCUUUAGAUUUUUAAUUAUUUUCUUGUGUACACAUAACUUGCAAAUUGUAUAAAAACAAUCAUAUUUUGAAUUACUUUAGGGCUGUGUGUAUGAAAAUAUAACUUAAAAAAACAACAUUUAAUGUAUUUUUUGGUAUUUUAAAAAUUGAAAUAUAAGUGAACCGAUAUAAGGACAGGUCAGUGGUCCCAUCUUUAUUUAUACCCUCCACCAUACAUAGUAUGGCGGGUGGUUAUAUUAAGCUCGUCAUUCCGUUUGUAACUCAUCGAAAUAAUAAUUUUAGACCCAACAAAGUACAUAUAUUCUUAAUCAGAGUAAAAUUCUAAGACGAUUUAGCUCUGUCCGUCUGUUGCAAUCACGCUAGAGUCAAAACGAAUUAAGAUAUAAAGCUAAAAUAUUGUACAGAUCAGUCUUUUAUAUCGUCCACGAUAUCGUAUGGUCCCCAUACAACGGUACCUCCGAUAUUCGGUAUUUUGAUGAUUAUAGCCACAAUUUUCAAUGGAAUUGUCUGAAAAUCCUCACAAGUAGUUCCUUCUGAGUACUUUACCCUCUGGAAGAGAAUUGCCUAUAAAGGUCCACGAUAUGGUAUAGCCUCCAUACCACGGUACAACCGAUAUUCGGUAUUCGGUAUAUUUUAAAGACAUUAUUCACCGGAAUUGUUUCAAAUUUCGUAUUUGAAACUCGUAAUGGGUACUAAAGCCUACCACAAAAAAUUGCGUAUGCAGGUCCACGUCUUCGUAUAGGCCCCGUUUAACGAUACCUCCCAGCCAUUAUUCACCGGAAUUGCUUCAAAUUUCUUAUUUGAAGCUCGUAAUGGGUACUACAGCCUAUUACAAAAAAUUGCGUAUGCAGGUCCACAUCUUCGAAUAGCCCCCAUAUAACGAUACCUCCGAUAUUCGGUAUUUUAAUGAUUUUAGCGACAUUAUUCAUCGGAAUUGCUUCAAAUUUCGUAUUUGAAGCUCGUAAUGGGUACUACAGCCUAUGACAAAAAAUUGCGUAUGAAAGUCCACGCCUUCGAAUAACGAUAACUCCCGAUAUUCGGUAUUUUGAUAAUUAUAGGGACAUUAUUUAUCGGAAUUGUUUCAAAUUUCUUAUUUGAAGCGCGAAAUGGGUACUUCAGCCUAUGACAAAAAAAGUUGUGUAUGCAGGUCCACGUCUUCGUAUGGUGGUCCCCAUAUAAUGAUACCCCCUGAUAUUUGGUAUUUUGAUGAUUAUAGGGACAUUAUUCACCGAAAUUGUUUCAAAUUCUGAAUACCUCCGAUAUUAGGUAUUUUGAUUUUAACGACAUUAUUCACCGGAAUUGUUUCGUAUUUGAAGGUCCACGUCUUCAUUUAGCCCACACGUAACGGCACCUCCCUUUAUUCGGUAUUUUAACAAUAUUAAAUUUUUUGCCGGAAUUGUUUCAAAUUUCUUAUUUAAAAUUCUUAACGGGUACUACAGCCUAUGACAUGCUUAUAUGACGGAUUUCCUUUGAACCACAUUUUCGACAGAUUUUUUUUGGAAAUUUUUCAAGUUCCUCCAAAGUGGCGGGAAGGUAUUACAAGUUCGGUCGAAAAAUAGCUUCAAUCGGAAAAUAUCUUCAAUCAAUUACCUGUUAAAGUUAUAUGUUUCAGACCUGUCAGAAUUCCCCACUGAGAACCUUCUCAUAAUUCCGGUGGACCAUUAAAUGGUUUCCUCCUUACGCCAGCAUAUUCAUAUGCUAUCGCCAUAAUCACGCCAUACCUGCUUGAAUGUUACCGUUUGGGUCAUCCUAGCCAAUAUAUGGUGGACAGAACUCCCCGACCCAGGCGUGUCAGGAAGGACCUAAACAAUCUAGAGAGGGAGGUAUAACGCUUUAAAAGAGAGCUUAUAGUACCAUUCAUGCUGAUGCAGUCUCAGAUGUCAUCAAAAACUACUGCAUGCUUUCGUUGCAGUACCUGAUUGGGUGUUACCGUGAAAGUCAUCCCAACCAUCGUAUGAUGGAUACAAUUCCCCCACCCAAGCGUGUCAGGAAGGACAUACACGAUCUAGAGAGGGAGGUCCAACGCUAUAAGAGAGAACCUGUAGAUUAAGAAGCCUAGCCGUCCUUGGAGUCCACCCCUCAUCUAUUGCAGUUGAAGAACGCCAGCUGGCUAGACAAACCAGGGUAGUUUGUGGCGUAAUUACGUUCAGGAUGGUGUAGUCGUGUCAAUUCGUACUGGGCACGAAUUGACGAAGAUGUGCGCGACGUCUGCCAGGCCCGCACAAUACGCUGCACCUCUUUAAUUGCCCAGCCAAACAUACCCAGCUCACUCCAGAAGAUCUCUGGCUACAACCCGUUAGAGUAGCCGAAUUUUUAAAACUAGGUCUUGAGCCAGAUUAGCAGAAUGCAAACACUCACAUGUACUACUGCUACAACAACAGCUACAGCAUGAAUUUCAACCUUUGAGUCCACCCCCAUACAGAGCGAAGGACAUCAGCUGCGAAGCUUCAACCAAACCAUCCACCUCUUUUUUAAUUGUUUUUUUUUUUUUUGUUUUGAGAGAAGACGUUAAUGAAUCAUCAAAACGAAUGGCAUGUCCUGUCAGUAUCAACAGCCUUAAAGCUUCAACCAAACCAUCCACCUCAUUUUUAAUGUUUUUUGGAGAGAAGACGUUAAUAUAUCAAUAAAAAGAGUGGCUAGCCAAGGCCAUGGCUAAUACCAGGGGCCUCAAUAUUCUGAUUUUCUUUUUCACUGCAAAUUUCAGACCAUUGAGCUCGACUCUAAAGAUAAAUAAACAAAGAAAUUAAAUUAAGGGGUCUUCAGAAAAAGGAGAGCAGUAUUGUUUUUAGUAUUUUUAAUGGCGGUUUUUCCAUUGUCAAUUUUGUAAUGUAAUCAUGUUCGGACUGACCUUUUUUCCUUAAAACAUUUUUUGAUUUCGUAAUUAGGGUACAGUACAAACCCUGUAUGACUUCUGUUCAAUUUAGCAGAUAUCUCGGUAUUUAGGACACUGAGUUUUCAGUUGGGUCCACUUAUUAAUGAAGGUCCAUUUAUUCACUUAUAUUCAAAACAAAACACACAGCUCUAAAUCGUUUAAAAAAUCAAUUAAAUUAUGAAUCUCUACCUUCAACAUUUUCGAUACCAAAAAAGCCAACCACAAUCAUUACCAACUCACCUAUCCAACAAACUACAGAAACUAAUAUAAAAUUACAACAAUAUUUGGAAACACAAGAAAUAAAAAAAAAUUAAAAAUAAAUUAAAUGUUGCAUGAAAUUUUGAGAUUAUGUGUACAAUAAAAUACAAAAAAAAACUAAAGCAACAAUUUCAAUACUAAAUGUCCAUAAAAAGAAAGAAUCACAGAAAUCUAUCUAUGUCUACAAAAAUGUGUAUACAUUCACGUUCAUACAUACCCCUACCUAUAUACAAAACACUCCUGCAUAAUAACAACAACAACAACUAUUUAUAUCAGACUAUACUGUCGUCUAAAUGUCUACUUCAACAAAAUGAAAUUUAGCAAAAUGCGAAAUGAAAACUAUAACCAAAUUAAAAGAAGAAAACCAAAAAAAAAAAAUAA